AUAGAGUGUGAUCGUGGCUCGGAGAUCGCAUGCGGGGGCCCUAUAGGGUAAUCGGUUCCCACAUAUGAUUAACCUGGGCCUAACUAUGGGAUAAGCCUGGGAAACUGGGUCUAAUACCGGAUAUGACUCCUCAUCGCAUGGUGGGGGGUGGAAAGCUUUUUUGUGGUUUUGGAUGGACUCGCGGCCUAUCAGCUUGUUGGUGAGGUAAUGGCUUACCAAGGCGACGACGGGUAGCCGGCCUGAGAGGGUGACCGGCCACACUGGGACUGAGACACGGCCCAGACUCCUACGGGAGGCAGCAGUGGGGAAUAUUGCACAAUGGGCGCAAGCCUGAUGCAGCGACGCCGCGUGAGGGAUGACGGCCUUCGGGUUGUAAACCUCUUUCAGUAGGGAAGAAGCGAAAGUGACGGUACCUGCAGAAGAAGCGCCGGCUAACUACGUGCCAGCAGCCGCGGUAAUACGUAGGGCGCAAGCGUUAUCCGGAAUUAUUGGGCGUAAAGAGCUCGUAGGCGGUUUGUCGCGUCUGCCGUGAAAGUCCGGGGCUCAACUCCGGAUCUGCGGUGGGUACGGGCAGACUAGAGUGAUGUAGGGGAGACUGGAAUUCCUGGUGUAGCGGUGAAAUGCGCAGAUAUCAGGAGGAACACCGAUGGCGAAGGCAGGUCUCUGGGCAUUAACUGACGCUGAGGAGCGAAAGCAUGGGGAGCGAACAGGAUUAGAUACCCUGGUAGUCCAUGCCGUAAACGUUGGGCACUAGGUGUGGGGGACAUUCCACGUUUUCCGCGCCGUAGCUAACGCAUUAAGUGCCCCGCCUGGGGAGUACGGCCGCAAGGCUAAAACUCAAAGGAAUUGACGGGGGCCCGCACAAGCGGCGGAGCAUGCGGAUUAAUUCGAUGCAACGCGAAGAACCUUACCAAGGCUUGACAUGAACCGGUAAUACCUGGAGACAGGUGCCCCGCUUGCGGUCGGUUUACAGGUGGUGCAUGGUUGUCGUCAGCUCGUGUCGUGAGAUGUUGGGUUAAGUCCCGCAACGAGCGCAACCCUCGUUCUAUGUUGCCAGCACGUGAUGGUGGGGACUCAUAGGAGACUGCCGGGGUCAACUCGGAGGAAGGUGGGGACGACGUCAAAUCAUCAUGCCCCUUAUGUCUUGGGCUUCACGCAUGCUACAAUGGCCGGUACAAAGGGUUGCGAUACUGUGAGGUGGAGCUAAUCCCAAAAAGCCGGUCUCAGUUCGGAUUGGGGUCUGCAACUCGACCCCAUGAAAUCGGAGUCGUUUGUAAUCGCAGAUCAGCAAUGUUGCGUUAAACACGCUCCCUGGCGUGGUACACACCCCCCGUAUAGGGUGUCACAGUGGUCCAUAGUGUUGCCAGGGUCUCACUAUGUCGUGACACAGUUCCCGUAUAGUUU
rnacentral:rRNA from 1 species